rfam:Streptomyces tsukubensis NRRL18488 Contig780, whole genome shotgun sequence.
CUGUUCUCACCCCGUGGUGGACUGCCGGGGCCAUUACGGAGGCAGUAGAGGAAGCCGGUGCGAAUCCGGCGCGGUCCCGCCACUGUCACCGGGGAGAAGGUCCCCCGGGAGCCAGGAACUCUCGCCUCCGUUCACGUCGAACC